rnacentral:lncRNA from 1 species
AGAGUACACACGGGAACAUGUCUAACCUGUUAAAUGUGGUUCAUUUCAUGUUGACAUUCUAUUAGAUACUUAUUUUAUCCUUUUACUAGGAAAAAAGAAAAUAUCACUUUAAAGAAUUGUGCGUCCAAAUGGCUUUUUAUUGAUUAACCUUCUUUAGGAACGCCCAAAGCCAAAAUUUCGAAAGCUAAAAAUGUGUUAGUACCAAAACACGGGAAAAACUAUUUUACCCAGAAGGUUUUCAUAGCAAAACCAUGUAAUAACUUUGCCUGAGAGAAUUGGAACUGCAGUUUCUUAAUAAUUUCUAAUUUCGUGAACGAACAAUUUAAGAAAUAGUCUAAAAUGCAUAAUCUUUUUCAUUAGUUGUUAUUGGCUUUGAAUAAGCUGUGUGUAACUGCGAGUAGUCUACGAUCUGUAUUUAGUGUCUUUCUGUUGUAUUGAUGUAUAAGUACCCAUCCACUUCUACUUUGUGUUUUUGUUAGAUGUAUUUCUAUUUGUAUCCAUCUGAUGAGUUAAGCCUUUAUCAACUGACUUUUUAGUUAGUUAGUGUUCUUAUAUUGUACUGUUACACCACUGUCCUAGGUUUGGGGAGUGUUGGCGCCUUUAAUCAAGUUUAGCCCCGCCACAGUCUACAUAUGCCUGUCCAAAGUCAGGAGCCUGUAUCUAAGUGACCGUUUUUGCUGUUUGUCAUAUUUGUUUUGUUUAGUGUCUUCUUUUUUUGUGCUGUUACACCACUGUCUCCGGUUAUGAUGAGGGUUUUGCGCCAUCUAACUAAUUUAACCCCGCCACUGCCUGCCCAAAGUCAGGAGCCUGUAAUUCUGUGGUUGUCGUUUGUUGCCGUGUAACAUAUUUGUUUUUCGAUCAAUAUUUAGUAAAUAAAUUAGGCCGUUAGUUUUCUCGUUUAAACUAUUUUAUAGCUGAUUGUGCGGUAUGGUUUUCGAAGAGUUGUUUCUUUGCCAACCAUACCACAUCUUCUUAUUUGUAUAUGUUAUAAAUCAUGCGGGUACAAAAACAUUGACAACUGUUCAUAUAUAUAUUCGUAUAUAAUAUGACAUAAUAGUGACACCUCAAAUGACCUUUCUGAACCAAAGUGUCCAAAUAAUAUUAACCUAUUCAGUUUUAUGCAAAAAUAACAUAAUUUUGAAAUUCUUGAACAAGAUUACUAUUUUUGCAAUUUCAGCGCCAAGUAACGGCUCUUAUCAUACUUCCUAAUUUACAACAAUAUAGAGUAUUACCAGAUAUUAGAAAUAAUAAGUACAUGACUAUGUAAAGCAUUGGUAAUAUAAGAUAUAAACAAUCUAACUCACAGAACACACAGAAUAAUUAUUAAAAAUAUGUACAUGGCAAUGUAAAGCAUAAAUAAUAUAAGAUACAAACU